rnacentral:lncRNA from 1 species
AUUGAAAGCUUUAGUAUCCAAUGCAACCAUGGAGUCCUCAAGCUGAUCAAUGGCAUCUUGGUACACAGUUGAGCAAUCUGUGAGGCAUUGCUUCACGAAUUCAUCUGAAUUUGUAGUAAGCAACUGGGUAAUGCGCUUGUGUAUUUCACCUCCAUUUAAUGAUGUCAUUUUUAGUGCAAAUUUGGCUAAGCUCUGCGCAUCUUUUACAUCAGUUUUUGGAGCUGUGGCUAGAGCAGAUUUGCAGAGGUCUUUGUACAAGGUUUGAUCACAAGUUGUGGUUACCAAAUCUGGGGCUUGGUGAGAAGGAUUGGCGAGAACAAGGAUGAAAAAGAAGAAGAUAGAGUAAGACAUAAUGGGUUACAAAUGUUUCUUCUCCUUUUUCUUCCUUGUUUUUAUUACUUUUGUUAUAAAAGUAAUAAGAUGGCCUGUUGUUUUAGGUUUUGGAAUGGG